GACGAACGCUGGCGGCGUGCUUAACACAUGCAAGUCGAGCGGUAAGGCCCUUUCGGGGGUACACGAGCGGCGAACGGGUGAGUAACACGUGGGUGACCUGCCCUCAGCUCUGGGAUAAGCCUGGGAAACUGGGUCUAAUACUGGAUAUGACUCCACGGUGCAUGUCGUGGGGUGGAAAGCCUUGUGCGGCUGAGGAUGGGCCCGCGGCCUAUCAGCUUGUUGGUGGGGUGANGGCCUACCAAGGCGACGACGGGUAGCCGGCCUGAGAGGGCGACCGGCCACACUGGGGCUGAGACACGGCCCAGACUCCUACGGGAGGCAGCAGUGGGGAAUCUUGCGCAAUGGGCGAAAGCCUGACGCAGCGACGCCGCGUGAGGGAUGACGGCCUGG
rnacentral:rRNA from 1 species